AGAAAGAGUUCUGCAGAUGGGUGGAGGUGAAGGUUGCACAACAAUGUGAAUGUGCUGAAUGCUGCUGAACUGCACACUUCAAAACGGAAACGACGGGCGUCUGCGCCUGAGAUGGAAUACAACAGCAAAAACAGCCUGAAGUGACCGAAAUUCCUGUGGCCAAAUGACUGCUGCAUGGCCCCGAUGCUCUCUCUCAAGGCUAAGACAUCAAAGCCAGGAGCAGCUGAAGACAACGCUGUUUCACAAAGGAGCAAACCAAAAGGAUAAAGACCCUGAUGAAAUUCCUCCAGGAAGAUAAGGCUUGAAACCCCACAGCCAGACUCACCCUGGGGUAGACACAUCCAGAGCUAGGAUUUCGUGAGCUGCCCUCACCAGACUGGAGGAAGACCCUGAGCUGAAAAAUGGGACACAGCCUGGAUUGGGCUUGGGGUGAUGCGAACAUGCAGGAGACAGGUAGGAGGAAAGACACCACAGCAAGGGAGGAUCUGGGCCUCUGGCCAUUGAGGCCCCACAACAGGCAUUCCUGGGGUGGCCACACCAUGACACAACCUUUCCCAUGAUUCCCUGUGUGCACGGCCGCUCACCCUCAGCCGGAUCAUAAACUAUUCAGGAAGAAAGGUCAUGACACAUCUCGUGCCCCCGUCAGCACUGAGUAUACAGGCUGUGACUGGUCAAUACUUGUUGAGUGGUUUGAACUUCCAGGCCACUCACCGUCAUUACCAUCUUCGGUAGCAGAGGGGAAGAAAGGGCAUUUCACUAUGUGCAGCCUGAGGAAGCCAUCAACAGCCAGAAUAACUGUCUUCCUUCACUCUUUACACAUUUGUGUUUGGUGGUUCUGUUCCUUAAUUUGAGGAGAGUGCAUCCAAGGCGAGCAUUUUGAUUAAAAGCUGCUAUAAAAGCAACAACUGAAGAGACCAGCUCACCUCCUGAAUCUGUGCCAGAUGAUUUGCACAGCUGGCCAGUUACACAGAUGUCUGGCUCAAAUAAGGAGAAACAGACCAUUCUACCUUGCAGGGACUUGCAUCACAUUCAAAGCUGACUUUUCAAACUCCAAGUGCUGGCACUAAUCCCUGUUCUAAUUAAGUAGGCACAGCUCUCAGAAACAGGCAGCGUUUUUUGGCUGGGAUAACCGUGACUCUUCCACACAAGAAUCUGGUUCUGAAAGCGCCUGUCAGGGAAAGCUGCUGGAUCUUGUCCAAGCAGUGCAUUCCGAACGCUUUCCGUGUUCCUUGGAAAAGCUCCACCAGGUGUGCUGGCGCCCUGUUCUUCAGCAGGGAUACUGCAGAAUUUCAUCCGGGGCCUCACACUCGGAAGCAAAGAGGAACGACUGGGGGGAAUGCGAGGAGGACACAGACCACAACUCCACCACUCACGGUGGGAAGGGCAGGCGCCGCGGGGCUAUGACAGAAACAGAUUCCUAGAACAAUGCACACGGUUUCUAUUCAACUUACAGAGAAGGGCCAAGAAGCAACCUCUUAAAAUUCUUCCAGCAAAUGACAAGACAUUAAAUGGAUAAAAUAGAAGACUACUCUCCUCCCUCCCUUUGAAGGCAGAAUAUAAAGUAAUGAAGGAAGUUAAGGAGACAAACGCAGGUACUUUGAGACGCUGGUGACUGGUGAAUCCCGGAACUUCUGCGGCAGAAGACUCCGCAACCUUCUUCUCUGGCUGACUGGAAACACAGUAUUGAUUUCUACCUUUACAAAGCAGACACUAUGUAGUCCAGCCAAGGGCAAGGCACUGACCACAAGACCUGCAGGCUUCCCUCUAGACCCUGUUAUUUCAUGACCACGUAUUUUAACAAUUGGAGUUUUUGCCACGCAUUCCAAUUACACCCUUGUUAGUUGCUCAAUGCCUUAGUGAAAACCUUCAGAUUCUACUGGCUGCCCUUCACAAACAGUCUGAAAUGCUCUGCCACAGGUAUCUUGUUAGAAAUAAGCAUGGAUCACGCCAUGCAGGCGGAAGGUUGCCCAGCUUACCUUCAUGGCCAGGAUUCUUUGAGGCCUACGCUUCGCGGUCUGCACGGUGUUGCCAUUUCAUCUUCAUCAGGCCUGUUGUGUUGCACAGGCAGCGAAUAUGACUCCAAGCACUCCGCAGCUCAAAAAAUGCAGAUACACACGUCACCGCUAGCUGGAACUAGGGUUCAUCUUCCCUGGUCAGAGCUUGGAAAGGUUUGAAGCUAGCCCUGCAGAGAGGAGAGUGGAAAUAAAUUAUGAAGCAAGCUAAAUAGAGAAUUCAGUUCUGGAUUUUUGAAAAAACAACCAGCAGAAUAUACUAAUGUAAAAAUAAAUGGCCACUAUUUGCUCAACCAUUUAUUUGCGCUAAGAGAAAAUACUAACGAGAAUAACAAAGUAAUUGAAACAGGUAACAGGUCUUGUUUUCAAAGUCAUAGAUCAGUGUCAACUUUGUAAUUCUCUGCUCUGGGCUCAAAAUGCACAGGAUGAAGUCCUGACCCCAGUACCUCAGAAUGGGACUGUAUUUGGAGAUAGGGCCUUCAUAGCAGUAAUUAAGGUAUAAUGAGGUCAUAUGGGUGGGCUCUAAUCCAGUAUGACUGGUGCUCUUAUAAGCAAGGAUUAGGACACAGACAAUAUAGGAGGUUGACCGUGUGAGGAUGCAGUAAGAAGGCAGAAGGCAGUUGGUUGUAAACCAAGGAGCAAGGCAUCAGAAAAAACCAUCCCUGCAGACUCCCUGAUCUCGGACUCCCAGCCCCCAACACUGGGACAAUCAGGUCUGUUGCUUAAUCCCCCAGGCUGUGGUAUUUUGUGAUAGCAGCCUGAAAGAAGACACUCCCCCAUCCCCUCACUCCCAUUUUUGAACAGUGGCUGGUUUUUGAUCAACUUCACUUGACUCUUCCUUCUCACCCUCACUUCAUUUUGCUCCAGAGAGCCCCUCACUAGCUCCUCCUUUCACUUGCCCUGCUUCCUUGUCUUUUAAAAGAGUUUCUCUCACAUUCUUCCCAGACAGAGCAGCCGCCUUGGGGAUGUGAGGGAGAGAAGGGAUCUUGCACCGAGCACCCCAGAGCUGGUGAGAGACCCAGCCUCCCAAAGUUCACACAUGUACCUGGUUUGCAAUGGCAGAAUAAAAACCAUGUGAAAUGGUCAGAAGAUGUACCUCUUCCUUUCUGGAUGACCCUGACUGACUCGUUCAACUUCUCUGAGCUUCGUUUUCUACCAUGUUUGAAAAAUGGUGAUGUGAAUUCUUGAAUGGUUGUUGUAAGGCUCAAUGAAGAUAAUGCAUUGAAAAACACUUCAUAUGCUAAUCACCACAACUCAAGUUUUUCUACCUAUGAAAUAGGUACUACCUAGCAUUUCACAGUAUAGUUUAAUGAGAAAAAAAAAAAAAAAAAGCAAUCAGCACAUAAGCAAAACUUUUGUGACUCAGAAUAGUAUCUAUAAAAGUAUUAUUUCUACUCUAGUUUUCAUCAGUGCAGUAAAGUUUAUUUUUGUUUUUUUCUGCCAGUUAAUAUUUAUGAAGAGUGUUGUAUUUGGUAUUAGGAAGAGAAUUCUAAAGACACAAAAGACCUGGUCCUUGCCUUCAGGGAUUCUGCAAUCUAUUUGAAAAAAUAAAAUUGUAAUAGCAAAAUAACGUAUAAAAUUAGUUCAAAGAGGUUUUCCAGGCUGCUGUGGAAAAUGCAUAGCUAAGUCUUCAUGCAGGACCAGCCCAGUCCAUACUUGAACUUUCUAGGACAACUUUCCAGAUAGAAAUUUUUCCUAUGACCUCUCUAAUGUGGCUGCAAGUGCAAACUAAGAAA